UUUAUGGAGAGUUUGAUCCUGGCUCAGGAUGAACGCUGGCGGCGUGCCUAAUACAUGCAAGUCGAGCGAACGGACGAGAAGCUUGCUUCUCUGAUGUUAGCGGCGGACGGGUGAGUAACACGUGGAUAACCUACCUAUAAGACUGGGAUAACUUCGGGAAACCGGAGCUAAUACCGGAUAAUAUUUUGAACCGCAUGGUUCAAAAGUGAAAGACGGUCUUGCUGUCACUUAUAGAUGGAUCCGCGCUGCAUUAGCUAGUUGGUAAGGUAACGGCUUACCAAGGCAACGAUGCAUAGCCGACCUGAGAGGGUGAUCGGCCACACUGGAACUGAGACACGGUCCAGACUCCUACGGGAGGCAGCAGUAGGGAAUCUUCCGCAAU
rnacentral:rRNA from 1 species